rnacentral:lncRNA from 1 species
AUGCUGAAUUUCCAUUAGUUAAAUGGAGAACAUCCAAUUUGACGUCAUUUACAUUUAAUGUAGAUAAUUUUUUAAUAUUUCCCCAGUUUAUAAAUUUGUUCAAUCCGUUGCUUUAUUUAAUCGCAUCAUUUGCUGGAAAAGAAGUAAUCUUAAGAUACCCUUUGAAACUACAAACAAAGUAUAAUGGAUCAAAGAAAAGAUUGUACCCUUACUGAAGAGUGAAGACUAAAGAGCUUCGAGUUGGUAAAAUGAAUUUUGAGUGUAGAAAUGCAGAAUGCGUUCGUUAGUUAGUAAAAAAACAAAUCGAAAGUAGUCUUUGUUAAGUAAGCAAGGAUGGUGAACGUUCAUAUUGAAUACUGUGGCGGAUGAGGUUACGGACCGCGUUAUCGGGAAUUGGCUCGCAAACUUAAAGCAGCUGUUCCUGAUGCGCAGGUUGAAGGCUCCGUAGGAAGAAGUGCUUCCUUCGAAGUGAAAAUAGGAGAUAAACUCAUCUUCUCCAAGCUAUCUACAUCAAAAUUUCCAGACUUUGAUGAAAUUGUCUGCAUUGUGGAGGAUGCUCAAUCCAGCGGAGAUGAUCCGAGAGAGGCCACUAAGACUGCUGCAACCUGCCAAGUUCUUUAAUUAUUCACAUCAAUUGUCUUAAUUAUUUAUUUUGUACUCUGAAUAUGGUUACGACUUCCACAUUAUGACGGAAGGCUCUUGAUUUAAAUUAUUUUUUGAUUUUUCAAAAAAAAAUCACCUUCCCGAUGUUUUUAAGUUGGAACGAAGAACUGAAACUUGAUAUAAAAUUGUUUUUAAGAUGUAAUAAUCAAUUUUAAAUGAUAAAUAUAUUUUAAUAAAAAACUUAAAAAAUA